GACGAACCGUGCGAACGUUAUUCGGAAUCACUGGGCUUAAAGCGCGUGUAGGCGGGUCGGCACGUCGGUCGCUGAAAUCCCCCGGCUCAACCGGGGAAGGGGCGCCGAUACGGCCGGCCUCGAGGGACGUAGGGGGGGCUGGAACUUCCGGUGGAGCGGUGAAAUGCGUUGAGAUCGGAAGGAACGCCCGUGGCGAAAGCGAGCCCCUGGACGUCUACUGACGCUGAGACGCGAAAGCCAGGGGAGCGAACGG
rnacentral:rRNA from 1 species